rnacentral:SRP_RNA from 2 species
UGUCAAGCCCCGAACAAUACGCUGUUGCCCAAUCCCGUCAGGUCCGGAAGGAAGCAGCGGUAAGUAACUUGUGUAUGUGAUUCGGGUGUCUUGGCAUAU